UUGCCACCCUUCACUUGUUAUCAGUGAUCAGUUUAUCGCUUCACAUGAAUGGAGGAAUGUGUGUUAGAGGGCAGGGAUUGUAUACAAAUGUACUGCAUGCUGAAUGUUAAAACAAACUUCAGCAGUUCGUUUUUCAUUCUCUCUUUCCUCCAAGUGUAUUUCAGCUGUGUCAUUUCACCUUAUUUAAAAUGGAAACAGGAAAAGAAAUUCAGCUGUCCUCUACAACAGGAGAUGAUUUCUUUACAGUUUAGAUCUAUGAGGCUUUUACAACAAGGACUUCCAGGUCAUGCAACUUGAAAAGAGCUGAAGGUCACUGUUGUUUUAUCUGUAACGUGGCUUGGGUGUGGCCUUGAACCAGUCAUUUAAACAGUCCUGGGAGGUGCUCCUCCACCACUCUGCGGUGAUCUUCUGCUUCAACGCCCCGCCUCUAUCUGGGCUUGGCUGUGGUGUCUUUGCUGGUUGAGAUUAACUCCGUGUUCCUUCCAUAUCAGACACCGCCUCCUCCUGUCAGGAUGGAGGAACAGGCCAGGGUCUGAAAUUACAGCUCCUCGCCCCUCUGUGACCUACAGCAUAACCAGCCGGCUCAACCUGGGAACAUUACUGGUGUUUCAUGUCUGUACGAUGGGUUGAAUCUGGCUGGCAGCUCACAGUGGACGUAUGCCUCGCUACGUCCUGAUGAUGGGGACAGCAGGCCUGAGUCUCAUCUCCACCAUGAACAUAGUGCUGUUUUACAGACUGCUCAGAGCAGACGUCUUUACCAACGCACACAACACCAGCAAGAACCACUAGAGGGAGACAGCGCUGUGUUUCUCCUGGUCGAAAAUGACUCAAGUGAUUCAGUUUUCUACCUCAUGAUGUGGUUGAACAGUGGUUCAAGGAACUGAGGACCUCUGUAACUUACAGUGUUUUUUUUUUGAUCAAAUUUUUAUUGAUUAUUGUAACUGUAUGUGACACCCCCC